rnacentral:rRNA from 1 species
AACGGUGACACGGAGCUUGCUCUGUGGGAUCAGUGGCGAACGGGUGAGUAACACGUGAGCAACCUGCCCCUGACUCUGGGAUAAGCGCUGGAAACGGCGUCUAAUACUGGAUAUGUGACGUGACCGCAUGGUCUGCGUUUGGAAAGAUUUUUCGGUUGGGGAUGGGCUCGCGGCCUAUCAGCUUGUUGGUGAGGUAAUGGCUCACCAAGGCGUCGACGGGUAGCCGGCCUGAGAGGGUGACCGGCCACACUGGGACUGAGACACGGCCCAGACUCCUACGGGAGGCAGCAGUGGGGAAUAUUGCACAAUGGGCGAAAGCCUGAUGCAGCAACGCCGCGUGAGGGAUGACGGCCUUCGGGUUGUAAACCUCUUUUAGCAGGAAGAAGCGAAAGUGACGGUACCUGCAGAAAAAGCGCCGGCUAACUACGUGCCAGCAGCCGCGGUAAUACGUAGGGCGCAAGCGUUAUCCGGAAUUAUUGGGCGUAAAGAGCUCGUAGGCGGUUUGUCGCGUCUGCUGUGAAAUCCCGAGGCUCAACCUCGGGCCUGCAGUGGGUACGGGCAGACUAGAGUGCGGUAGGGGAGAUUGGAAUUCCUGGUGUAGCGGUGGAAUGCGCAGAUAUCAGGAGGAACACCGAUGGCGAAGGCAGAUCUCUGGGCCGUAACUGACGCUGAGGAGCGAAAGGGUGGGGAGCAAACAGGCUUAGAUACCCUGGUAGUCCACCCCGUAAACGUUGGGAACUAGUUGUGGGGUCCAUUCCACGGAUUCCGUGACGCAGCUAACGCAUUAAGUUCCCCGCCUGGGGAGUACGGCCGCAAGCUAAAACUCAAAGGAAUUGACGGGGACCCGCACAAGCGGCGGAGCAUGCGGAUUAAUUCGAUGCAACGCGAAGAACCUUACCAAGGCUUGACAUAUACGAGAACGGGCCAGAAAUGGUCAACUCUUUGGACACUCGGUAAACAGGUGGUGCAUGGUUGUCGUCAGCUCGUGUCGUGAGAUGUUGGGUUAAGUCCCGCAACGAGCGCAACCCUCGUUCUAUGUUGCCAGCACGUAAAUGGUGGGAACUCAUGGGAUACUGCCGGGGUCAACUCGGAGGAAGGUGGGGAUGACGUCAAAUCAUCAUGCCCCUUAUGUCUUGGGCUUCACGCAUGCUACAAUGGCCGGUACAAAGGGCUGCAAUACCGUGAGGUGGAGCGAAUCCCAAAAAGCCGGUCCCAGGUUCGGAUUGAGGUCUGCAACUCGACCUCAUGAAGUCGGAGUCGCUAGUAAUCGCAGAUUCAGCAACGCUGCGGUGAAAUACCGUUCCCGGGUCUUGU